GACGACGACUCCUACGGGAGGCAGCAGUGGGGAAUAUUGCACAAUGGGCGCAAGCCUGAUGCAGCCAUGCCGCGUGUAUGAAGAAGGCCUUCGGGUUGUAAAGUACUUUCAGCAGUGAGGAAGGUGGUGCAGUUAAUAGCUGUAUCAUUUGACGUUAGCUGCAGAAGAAGCACCGGCUAACUCCGUGCCAGCAGCCGCGGUAAUACGGAGGGUGCGAGCGUUAAUCGGAAUUACUGGGCGUAAAGCGCAUGCAGGUGGUUUGUUAAGUCAGAUGUGAAAGCCCCGGGGCUCAACCUCGGAAUUGCAUUUGAAACUGGCAGACUAGAGUACUGUAGAGGGGGUAGAAUUUCAGGUGUAGCGGUGAAAUGCGUAGAGAUCUGAAGGAAUACCGGUGGCGAAGGCGGCCCCCUGGACAGAUACUGACACUCAGAUGCGAAAGCGUGGGGAGCAAACAGGAUUAGAUACCCUGGGAG
rnacentral:rRNA from 1 species